GCCGCGUGAGUGAAGAAGGUCUUCGGAUCGUAAAGCUCUGUUAUCGGAGAAGAACACGGAGUGCAGUAACUGGCAUUCCGCUGACGGUAUCCGACCAGAAAGUCACGGCUAACUACGUGCCAGCAGCCGCGGUAAUACGUAGGUGACAAGCGUUGUCCGGAUUUAUUGGGCGUAAAGCGAGCGCAGGCGGUCUUUUAAGUCUGAUGUGAAAGCCCACGGCUCAACCGUGGAUGGUCAUUGGAAACUGGGAGACUUGAAUGCAGAAGAGGAAAGUGGAAUUCCAUGUGUAGCGGUGAAAUGCAUAGAUAUAUGGAGGAACACCAGUGGCGAAGGCGACUUUCUGGUCUGUAACUGACGCUGAGGCACGAAAGUGUGGGGAUCAAACAGGAUUAGAUACCCUGGUAGA
rnacentral:rRNA from 1 species